UCUUGUUCGUUUACCUAUCGCUGUACGAGCGAUCAAACGCGGCGGCUAAUCGCUAGCGGCAGCGACAAAGAUUUUCAAUCGCUAUUUUUUCCAGCGUUUGUUUUAUUAUUUUAAUAAUGAACCCAUUAAAUGACAAUGUUACCCUUGGUUUUUAAAUGAAACUACUAAUGAAUCUAAACCUAAACGUAAUAUUUUUUAUAAUUCUCUUGUCGCCGUCAAGCUAUAACGAUUCUCAAUCCUCCACUUUGAUUCUCUCUCGUGGCCAAGCUUGUUGGGUUUCUCAGUACUCCACUUCGAUUCUCUCUCGCGGCCAAGGAGCUUCGAGCCGCGGCCAAGCUUGUCGGUUUUCUCUCUUACGGUUUUAGGAGGAAUCACUCUUAAACAAGGAUGUCAAAGUUGACUAAUGACAACUGGACCGAUGAGGAAUGUCGUUUCUUUUUUCAACUGUUCUUGGAAGAGAAAAAAAGGGAAACAAAACAAGGAAUGGAUUGAAUCAAACUGCAAAGGAGUUCAUUGUGAAGACAUUUGAAGAGAAAUACGGAGAGAAGCAUAUAUGGGACAGAUUUAAGAACAAGUAUGAUACUUGUAGAAGGGUUUACGUAAGCGUUAAGAAGCUGAUUCAUAACAGAACUGGAAUGGGCUAUGAUGAUAUGGGAAGAAUAAACAUGUCUGAUGAUUGGUGGCAAGAACGCAUAAAGGAAUGGCCUGGAGCUAGGAAAUACAAAAACAAGCAUGUUCCUAAUAU